CCCCGGCGAUGCCGGCCACCUCAACGUGGUGCCAGGGUCCAGUACCCCGUAUCAUCGGGGGAAGCCAAGAGUCAGCA
rnacentral:ribozyme from 1 species